GCCCAGGUGGCGAAAUGGCAGACGCGCUAGCUUCAGGAGCUAGUGACCGCAAGGUCAUGGGAGUUCGACUCUCCCCUUGGGCA
rnacentral:tRNA from 1 species